CCUUGCUCUGUUAUUAACCUGCUGCUGCACACCUGAGAAACACCUGCUGCUGCUUCUACUGAUGCUGCUGAUGGAGCUAACAUGCUGACAUGCUUUGAUAAUGAAGCUUCGGCAUUAUGUUGUGCAGGAAUAACUGUGUUUGCUGCUGCUGAUCUUCACCUCUCAUAGAUGGAGCCGGUUUACCGCUCUCCAGUGGGCACUGGAUGAAAAAUCCGUCACAGUGGAAAGAAAAGUGACAACCUUGGCAUAGACACCCCCUCGCUUUUCUGAACAACAGAUUGCAUCCCACAUGGUCCUUUGCAGGGGGAGACUGCCUCGGCUUUUUAUCCGGCAUCUGCUCUCUGUUCUCCUGUUUGAUCCCCGGCAUGGCGCGACACUUUUUUCCAUUAUGUUACCAAACUGCGAUAUGGCAGAUAUAACACAACAUGUCCUCCUGGCAUCGACUUCUACUCCCCUAUAAUCUCAAGUGCCACUUCACAGACGUGUGGCUAAUUUGGAGAUGCAAAUUCACAGAAGUCACAGAGCAGAUCAUGUUGCAAAACACGCAGCCAUGCGAGGCUUUUUCUGCGGGCCAGUGGCUGGAUUGAAAAAAAAAAUCAAAAAAAUCUGUGUCUGCUUUGAA